rnacentral:rRNA from 1 species
UGGGGAAUAUUGGACAAUGGGCGAAAGCCUGAUCCAGCCACGCCGCGUGUGUGAUGAAGGCCUUCGGGUCGUAAAGCACUGUGGGGAGGGAAGAACGGGUAGUCAGCUAAUACCUGAUUAUCGUGACGGUACCUCCUUAGCAAGCACCGGCUAACUCCGUGCCAGCAGCCGCGGUAAUACGGAGGGUGCAAACGUUGCUCGGAAUCAUUGGGCGUAAAGCGCGUGUAGGCGGCUUGUUAAGUCGGGUGUGAAAUCCCUGGGCUCAACCCAGGAAGUGCGCCCGAAACUGGCGAGCUAGAGUACGGGAGAGGGUAGUGGAAUUCCCGGUGUAGAGGUGAAAUUCGUAGAUAUCGGGAGGAACACCAGUGGCGAAGGCGGCUACCUGGACCGAUACUGACGCUGAGACGCGAAAGCGUGGGUAGCAAACAGG